UACAGAGGGUGCGAGCGUUGUCCGGAAUCAGCUGGGCGUAAAGGCUCGUAGGCGGUUCGUCACGUCGGGAGUCGGAAAACUCGGAGCUCAACUCCGAGCCUGCUUCCGAUACGGGCAGACUAGAGGUAGGCAGGGGGAGAGCGGAAGCUCCUGGUGUAGGCGGUAGGAAUGCGCAGAUAUCAGGAAGAACGACCGGUGGCGGCAAGGCGGCUCUCUGGGCCUUACCUGACGCUGAGGAGCGAAAGCGUGGGUAGCGAACAGG
rnacentral:rRNA from 1 species